GUGUCGUCUUCCUCUCCGCCGCUUCUCCUGUCCACCCUCGACUGCUUGCGCGUGACCUGAGCCGCCGCCGCCUACAUCCGCUCAUCCCCGCGCCCGCCUCAACCACGCCGCCACCGACCACGUAUAAUCCUGCCUCCCCUUCGCGCGGUUUCGAGGCUCGUUUCCUUUGGGAUCGUUCGUCUGCCCCGACCGCGUGGGCGCUUCUUCUUCGGGAUCUCGCUGGACCGAGCGGCCCAGGGCUAGGGAUUCAGGCCCAUGGCGUGGCGGCGCGUCCUCACCCAGGU
rnacentral:lncRNA from 7 species